rnacentral:rRNA from 1 species
AUGCCGGACAAGUGUGCCGGUAUGACCACGGCCGAGAUGACGUGGUUGAAUCUUCCGCCCCUUUUUGUGUGCUGGCACGUGUGCCGGCCGCUGGCAAGUGUGCCGGCCGCUGGCAAGUGUGCCAGCAUGAGCUGUGUGGUGUUUUUUUUGGAGUUGGCAUUGCAUGCCGGCCGAUGGCAUGGUGCCGGCAUGAACUUUGGGGCCGCUGACAAUGAUCUACAGCCAUGGGUCUUUUCAAAUUUGUGGGCCGACAUGAAAUGGGUAUGUCGGCGUUCUGGGAACGGGGGUCCCCAGACUUGCGUGCCUGCGGCCCACGGCGUGGCUGCUCUAGCAGGCCCGUACGGCCCAUCUUUAUCAACAAGGCAUUCAAGACCCUCGCGAGGCGGACGACGCAAGACCUCCUCAGGAGCGGCCUCGCCAGGCAGGCUCGUGAGGGGCGGAGAGAUCAAGGCAAGGCAAACCUCGCGAGGUUCUCGUGACGUAGCCAUGACGAUCGAGACCAGGUGGGCGCCAGCGCGCGCAGCGUCCUUGUUUCCUCUUUGGUGCUAA